AUUUUCUCCAUUGUCUUUUUGUGGGGGAACAACUCAAAAAAGAUCUGAUUUUCCCCCUUUUAUGUACAAAUCAGUUUGUAUUUUGAAGAAUCUGAUGCCCCAGAAAUGGGAUUUUUUCUGAAAACCUCAAAUACCCAUUUCUAUUAAGGCCCUGGAUUUUCUCAUUUUGUCUGGAAAGUUGACAAUUUGUGUUCUUUCAUCUAUUUUCA
rnacentral:misc_RNA from 1 species